AGUUUUAAUAUUUUAAUACAAAUUUUUUUAAAAAAGAAACAUCAUUUAUAUUAGUAAUGGUGAAAGAAUAAUUAUACGUAAAUAUAUGCAUAGUCGUACCGUAUGGGAAUACAUAAAAUUUUUUUCUAGUAGAAUUUAAUUCGUACCUUUUGCAUCAUGGUUUAGCAAGAAAAUUUUUUGAAUUAAAUUUCUCGAAACCUAAGGAGCUACCUUAAUUUUGGUUUAGCCUUAUAUAAGAGUGAAUGUGGCACAAUUCUAUUUAAAAUUUAAGGUAGAAAUUAAAUGUUAUCCGUCUUAGGUGAUAGCUAGUUAUAAUAUAAAGAUAUAUAAGUAUCGGAUAUAAUUUUACUAUAUGUUUAUUUUAUGUAUAUAAUAAUUUAUUUUCUUGGCUAUGUGAGGAUAAGCUCGCAUAAAGUUUAAUUUAACUAAAAUUAUGUAUAAAUCUAAGCUUGGAAUUAGCUAUGAUAUCGAAUUUGUUAAAAAUGCAUGUAUACAAAAACCUUUAUAAUAUAUUGAAUCCAUAUUAUUCUACUAUAUAAUUAAAACAUAAUUGAUUUAUGCUAAAAUGAGUAUUAAUUAUAAAUUAAAAUAAAAAUAAACAUAAAUUUUUUUUAAAAAAAAUUUUAUAAACAUUAUGAAAUAUAUUAUAGGAACUCGGCAAAAUUUAACUCCGCCUGUUUAGCAAAAACAUGUCUCUUUGAGGAUAAGAUAUAAAGAGUCUAGCCUGCCCGGUGACGUAGUUUAACGGCUGCAGUAUCCUGACUGUGCAAAGGUAGCAUAAUAACUUGUCUUUUAAUUGAAGGAUAGAAUCAACGGCUUGACGAGAGUGAAACUGUCUUUUUUAUUUUUAUUAUAAAUUAUCCUUUAAGUUAAAAGACUUAAAUAUAACUAAGGGACGAUAAGACCCUAUUGAGCUUAAAAAAAAUAAAGUGAUUAUUCGUUUAUUAAUAAAAUUGAUAAUAAUUUUAAUUUAUUUUGGUUGGGGCGACUGCGGGGUAUAUAAAACCUCCGAUUUAAAAAAUCUAUUCGUAUUUAUUGAUCCUUAAUUUAAGAUAAAACGAAUUAGUUACCAUAGGGAUAACAGCGCACCGCUUCUAGGGAGACCAUAUUUCUUGGGGAGAUUGCGACCUCGAUGUUGGAUUAAGGUAUACUAAAAGGUGCAGGAGCUUUUUAAGUUAGUCUGUUCGACUAUUAAAUCCUUACAUGA
rnacentral:rRNA from 1 species